AGCAAGGCUGUUAGGAAUCAAGCGGGUCCUUUUCUUUGCCUAUUUCCUUUCUCCAGUGUUUUGAUCUGCAUCCCCUCGUCUCCCAGAAUAUAUGAAAAAGAGACGAGAGAAAUAUAUAUAUAUAUAUAGAUUUAUAUAUAUAUAUAUAUAUAUAUAUACAUAUCCGUAUGAAG